AUUGAACGCUAGCGGGAUGCUUUACACAUGCAAGUCGAACGGCAGCGCGGACUUCGGUCUGGCGGCGAGUGGCGAACGGGUGAGUAAUGUAUCUGAACGUGCCCAGUAGCGGGGGAUAACUACGCGAAAGCGUAGCUAAUACCGCAUACGCCCUACGGGGGAAAGCAGGGGAUCGUAAGACCUUGCACUAUUUGAGCGGCCGAUAUCGGAUUAGCUAGUUGGUGAGGUAACGGCUCACCAAGGCGACGAUCCGUAGCUGGUUUGAGAGGACGACCAGCCACACUGGAACUGAGACACGGCCCAGACUCCUACGGGAGGCAGCAGUGGGGAAUUUUGGACAAUGGGGGAAAGCCUGAUCCAGCCAUGCCGCGUGUGCGAUGAAGGACUUCGGGUUGUAAAGCACUUUUGGCAGGAAAGAAACGUCGCGGGCUAAUACCCCGUGGAACUGACGGUACCUGCAGAAUAAGCACCGGCUAACUACGUG
rnacentral:rRNA from 1 species